UCAGGUGAUAAUGGCGGUGGUGAUCACCUCUUCCCAUUCCGAACAGAGAAGUUAAGCCCACUAGCGCCGAUGGUACUGCUUUAAUUGGUGGAAGAGUAGGUAGUUGCCUGUU
rnacentral:rRNA from 1 species